rnacentral:rRNA from 1 species
AGCGAACGCUGGCGGCAUGCCUAACACAUGCAAGUCGAACGAGACCUUCGGGUCUAGUGGCGCACGGGUGCGUAACGCGUGGGAAUCUGCCCUUGGGUUCGGAAUAACAGUUGGAAACGACUGCUAAUACCGGAUGAUGACGUAAGUCCAAAGAUUUAUCGCCCAAGGAUGAGCCCGCGUAGGAUUAGCUAGUUGGUGAGGUAAAGGCUCACCAAGGCGACGAUCCUUAGCUGGUCUGAGAGGAUGAUCAGCCACACUGGGACUGAGACACGGCCCAGACUCCUACGGGAGGCAGCAGUGGGGAAUAUUGGACAAUGGGCGAAAGCCUGAUCCAGCAAUGCCGCGUGAGUGAUGAAGGCCUUAGGGUUGUAAAGCUCUUUUACCCGGGAUGAUAAUGACAGUACCGGGAGAAUAAGCUCCGGCUAACUCCGGG